rnacentral:lncRNA from 1 species
AUGGUACCGAAUGCGAAGAAGGAAGCUCCUGCCCCACCUAAAGCCGAAGGAAGCUCCCGCCCCUCCUUUUGGCGAAGUCUUUGAAGGCCAAAAGACAGGGCUGAAGGGUGUCCACGGCCACAAAAAAAACACACACAAAAAACAAAAAACAGAAGAUCCGUACGUCACCCACCUUGCGGCGGCCCAAGACACUGCGAUUCUGGAGGCAGCCCAAAUAUCCUCGGAAGAACGCCCCCAGGAGAAACAAGCUGGACCACUCUGCUGUCAUCAGGUUUCUGCUGACCACUGAGUCUGCCAUGAAG